CACAGGUGUCACACAGGACUUUCCCUUGGGUGUCACAGACACAGGUGUCACACAGCUUGUCCCCUGGGUGUCACAGACAGCCCCAGUUUCCAGGGAAGUGCACAGCUUGGCCAUGGAUCAGGUUACAGCAGCCAGAGCAGGACUGCAGCACAUGAAUUUGCAGCACAAUGGAGCCCAUGCACACAGAACAGCUCUCAGCGGUGCCAGAAACAAAAUGAACCCGGAAGGGUGGAGAGAAAACAGGAGAACGAUGUCAGGAGGAACAGGAGCUGUAUUACUUCACAGAAACACAAAACCACAUAAAACUGCAUCCAGAGCCAGUACCAAACAACCCCAAAGCAUUUAUCCAGGACCAAGGGUGACUGUGAGAACAUGCUGAGGAACAAGGUCUGAGAGAAAACCUUCAUGCUUCACUGAAUAGUCAUUUUUUGUAAUAAAGAAAGAAACAUCUUGACUUUU